CCAGACUCCUACGGGAGGCAGCAGUGGGGGAUAUUGCACAAUGGGGGGAACCCUGAUGCAGCGACGCCGCGUGGGCGAAGGAGUAUUUCGGUAUGUAAAGCCCUAUCGGCAGGGAAGAAGCAAGACGGUACCUGACUAAGAAGCCCCGGCUAACUACGUGCCAGCAGCCGCGGUAAUACGUAGGGGGCAAGCGUUAUCCGGAUUUACUGGGUGUAAAGGGAGCGUAGACGGCCAGACAAGUCAGAAGUGAAAGCCCAGGGCUCAACCCUGGGACUGCUUUUGAAACUGCCGGGCUGGAGUGCAGGAGAGGUAAGCGGAAUUCCUAGUGUAGCGGUGAAAUGCGUAGAUAUUAGGAGGAACACCAGUGGCGAAGGCGGCUUACUGGACUGUAACUGACGUUGAGGCUCGAAAGCGUGGGGAGCAAACAGGAUUAGAUACCCGCGUAA
rnacentral:rRNA from 1 species